rnacentral:pre_miRNA from 1 species
AUAUAAAGCAACUGGGGAUUUUAUUAAAAUACAGAUUAUGAUAUAUUAGAUAUGGUGGGGUGGGUCUUAAGAUUCGAUAUUUCUAAUAAGCUCCCAGAGGAUACCGAC